GCCAAACAGCUAGCUCACCCAUCCAAUAACUAAGCAAUGUAAAUAAAACAAAAUAAGCCUAACCCUAAAAAUUAAACCAUUCUUUUACCUUAGUAUGGGAGACAGAAAAGGUUAUACCUGAAGCAAUAGAGAUAGUACCGCAAGGGAAAGCUGAAAGAGAAAUGAAAUAACUCAUAUAAGCACAAAAAAGCAAAGAUUAAAUCUUGUACCUUUCGCAUCAUGAUUUAGCCAGUACACCCAAGCAAAGAGACCUUUAGUUUGAAACCCCGAAACCAGGUGAGCUACCCCGAGACAGCCUAUUAAGGGCCAACCCGUCUCUGUGGCAAAAGAGUGGGAAGAGCUCCGGGUAGAGGUGACAAAUCUACCGAACCUGGUGAUAGCUGGUUGCCUAAGAAGUGAAUAGAAGUUCAGCCUCGUGUUCCCUAGAUCAGACGUUAAAAAGAAGAUACUAUAAGGGUAACGCACGAGAGUUAGUUGAAGGGGGUACAGCCCCUUUAACAAAGGACACAACCUUUACAGGAGGAUAAAGAUCAUAAUACAUAAAACAUCCUGUUCUAGUGGGCCUAAAGGCAGCCAUCUAAACAGAAAGCGUUAAAGCUCAGACAGAAGUAAGUUUAUUAUUCCGACAAAAAAUCUUAUUCCCCUAACUACUAUUAGGCCAGCCCAUGCCCGCAUGGGAGGGACUAUGCUAGAAUGAGUAACAAGAAGGCCUGCCCUUCUCCAAGCACAAGUGUAAGCCAAACCGGACCGACCAUUGGCAAUUAACGAACUCAGCCCAAGAGAGUAAUGUGGAUUGCAACAAGACCAAGUAGAACCCACAAUAAACCUAUCGUUACCCCCACACUGGUGUGCUAUUAAGGAAAGACUAAAAGAAGGGGAAGGAACUCGGCAAACUCAAGCCUCGCCUGUUUACCAAAAACAUCGCCUCCUGCAACAAAACCUAGUAUAGGAGGUCCAGCCUGCCCAGUGACUAUAAGUUCAACGGCCGCGGUAUUUUGACCGUGCAAAGGUAGCGUAAUCACUUGUCUCUUAAAUGGAGACCUGUAUGAAUGGCUAAACGAGGGCUUAACUGUCUCCCCCCUCCAGUCAGUGAAAUUGAUCUAUCCGUGCAGAAGCGG
rnacentral:rRNA from 1 species